UGGGGAAUAUUGCACAAUGGGCGCAAGCCUGAUGCAGCCAUGCCGCGUGUGUGAAGAAGGCCUUCGGGUUGUAAAGCACUUUCAGCGGGGAGGAAGGCGUUAAGGUUAAUAACCUUGGCGAUUGACGUUACCCGCAGAAGAAGCACCGGCUAACUCCGUGCCAGCAGCCGCGGUAAUACGGAGGGUGCAAGCGUUAAUCGGAAUUACUGGGCGUAAAGCGCACGCAGGCGGUCUGUCAAGUCGGAUGUGAAAUCCCCGGGCUCAACCUGGGAACUGCAUUCGAAACUGGCAGGCUAGAGUCUUGUAGAGGGGGGUAGAAUUCCAGGUGUAGCGGUGAAAUGCGUAGAGAUCUGGAGGAACACCAGUGGCGAAGGCGGCUCUCUGGUCUGUAACUGACGCUGAGGCUCGAAAGCGUGGGGAGCAAACAGG
rnacentral:rRNA from 1 species